GUAUAUUGAAUAUUUUUUUCAUGAAUCAAAUUUGACAAUACGUACAAAAGAAUUAAAAUAUAGAAAAAACAAAAAUAAAAAAUUAGUGAAAAAAUUGGUGAAAGAAGAUUGAGAAAAAACCAAAGGCUCGAGUCUAACUGUCUAUAUAGGAAUCAAUGCACAUGACAAAACAACUCAUCAAAACAAUGACUAUAUAUAAAAUCG
rnacentral:lncRNA from 1 species